CCAGUCCUGGCAGGCCACACACCGACUGCCCAGAUGGCUGAAGUCUCCUAGGCUGAAAUGGCGGCAGCUCUGACGAUGCCCCUUGCAGUUGCUGGGCCUCACCCAAGGGUCGAGCGAGGGAAGACCUUCUUGAUGGCUGCAGCGAUGUGCUGGGCCAGCUGUUCCAGGGCAGCCACACCAGGAAGCUCCAGGACCAGCUCAGGCAAGGACUCCAGCUCAAAGCGCCAUGGCCUGGACCUCCAGGUAGCUGAAUGUACAGUCCACCUGUGGAGUGCCUAGAUCAGCCUGAACCAAGGCCCAAGCCCCACCCUUCUGGGAGCCCAGUCCUUUGCAACCUGGAGCUCAGAGCUAGACCCGCCUGUACUCCAGUCCUGUCUGCUGCCGGGAGCCCAGUACUGUUGGAAGGGCAGAGCCCACAAGGACAAGACAGACAGCGCUGCAGAUGCAGCCCUCAUCAAGGAAGCUGCUGGAGAGCAAGGGUGGGUAGUGGU